rnacentral:lncRNA from 1 species
UGCUUACAAUACAGAGCCCUCUCCCCUCUUUCCCUCUCUGCCCUUACAUGCUAGAGUUAAAUUCUGUUCUGUCAUGUACCCAACUCCCCUCUCCCUCAUCUGGCCUCCCCCUCCCCUCUCCCUCUCACUCCAGUAUUAUUCCCAUGCACUGAAUAAUCCUGGCCUUCACAGUUCCACCAGGAGGGGUUGUAGCAAUCAGCUGAUACCAGUUGGGAAGCUCACAUAUAUAUUGGCAGUAGGCCCAUGUAAGCAGGACCACAGGUAGACAUCCAAGAAACAUGAGCAUUGUGGUCAGAUCAGGUGCCAUCUUGACCUGCUGCUGCUGGACACCACCUCCUCCUCUUCCUUCUCCCCCUCUUACGUCUUGCCAUUGUCAGCUUACACAAGCCAUGUUUCCCCAUCAAACAUCGAGGCAACCCCCCCAGCUUUCUCUAUCACUGAGACUA